rnacentral:lncRNA from 1 species
AAAAAAGGAAAAUAAGAAGAGAAUUUGAAAGAUGAGGUUUUAAUUCGAAUUUGGGUUGUUCUUAUACCCAAAGUUUGGCCCAAACCACUCAUAGCGAAACCCAUGACCCAAACUGACCCAACCCAUCAACCCAUUACCCAUUUUCCUAAAAAGACCUAGGGAUACACAUUAAAUAGAGGAAUAAACCUAAAAAGAUCAGAUUUUUAGGAAUCUCCUCCCAAGCAAAAACGGCGCAAGAGUUCUUCUUCAUUUUCUCCAAGCUCAACAAUCAGACCCUUACCCCUUAACGGCGUAACCCCCAGUCCAUUCUUCUUCUCCAUUUCUCAUCUUUAAUGGAUAUUAGAGGACCCAAAUAAGGAAAUCCCACACACCCCAAAGAAUGUGAAAAUGGAUAUUCAUAAAGAAGCAUUUGAAAAGAGAAAAAAUAGAUAUUUCUGAGAUCUAAAAUAAUUUGCUUGAGGAAUUAAAAAAAAAAGCCAAUAGAGUUUAAAACAAUUUUCACAAGAAAAUAGUUUAUAAAAGUUGUAUCUGCCUCGGUUGAUUCUAGAGAAUUUCUCUAUGGUUUAUGGGUACACAAAGCUGGAAUUAAUCUGCAAAUUGAUGUUGCCAUUCACGGUUGCAUAGCUGAGCUCCAAUCUACUGAUUUCCAGCGUGUAUUUGAUUUUUUUCUUUUCUAAAUUUGAACCUUGAGCAACGAGGUAAGUUUCCCAUAAAAUUGAUUUCAGAUCUGUUUUUUGUCAUGGAAUCUUAUUUUGUUUGUGUGCUCGUAUCCUAUGUCAAUUGAAAUGAGAAUAGUAUGAACUAUGUUACUUAUUGGAAAUGUUAUUUUUGGUGGUAUUUCCUAUGCUUUUAAGUUAAAUAUAUUUGGUUUGUAAUUGAAUAGUGUUGUCAGUAUGCAUUGUUUGAUUUUCCAGUGGCAUCCCAUGUGUUCAUCUUUUUUAUGAAUGAUGAAGAUUUGUUUUGAGGUCUCAUACUCUGUUGCACUGCCAGAAAUAUCAGAUACAAAGCUUUCUUUUAUCUUGCAAUUUAGCAAUAGAUUCUUUCCAUAAAAAAUAGUCUGCUACACUAUAAUCGGUCAAUAUAAGACUUAAGGAUUGCAUCCUGGUAUAGUCAUUAUUCUUGAUGCAUUCUUUUAGUAGAGUAGUAAGUUUGUUUUAGUAAAUUUUCGGUUAUUUUGAGGUGUGUCAUGCCAAAUAAAACCCCUAAGCCCAUGACCCUCACAAAACUAGCUAGCUUUUAUAGACAAUCUGAGGUGUGCCAUUUUCAUUAAAUAACCCAUGGCCCUCAUGUGAUUAAUACUAACUCUUUUAAAAAUCGGGAUGUGCCAUCAAUUAAACUUUCCAUGGCCCUCGCAGACUUUGUUAUUAAUUUGAAAUUUCGUAGUUGCUUUAGGCGCGCUCCUUAAAUUAAUUUUCUUUUAUUUAUUAAAUUCGGGUGUGCAUUUCAUGUGACCCAACUCUAACUCUCAACAACGUUAAAUAAAAUGUAUCGUGGAUCGCAGGUGCAUUCCAUGUGGCGUGGUUCAAAGCAUAUUUUAAAUAACGUUGAAUCUUCAUAAAAUAAUUAAAAGCAUUUUAAUAAGUUAAAAAUGUACCAUAGGCUAAAACAUGUAUUAAAGUCAGAUAAUAGUCCGAUUAUGAUAGUUUAAGCGAUCGUGCUAGAACCACGGAAUCCGGAGGUGCCUAACACCUUCCUCGGAUUAACAAAAUUCCUUAUUCAGAAUUUCUGGUAUAUAGACUUCAAUAGCAAAGUCGAAUUUUCCUCGAUUUGUGAUUUAAAAUAAACCGAUGACGAGGGACACCAAUAAAAAACAUUCCAAGUGGCUACUAUGAAGAAAUUCAAUAAAAUAAUUUAAUUUCGAAUAAUGUCACUUAAAUUGGAAAAACUCCCCUAGAUCCACCCUCGGGUGUGUAAAAAGGAGGUGUGACAGCUCUGGCGACUCUGCUGGGGACCCAAACCUAGAACUUCGGUUCAGGAUUCAAGAAUUCGAGCUUAGAAUAACUAUUAUAGUUGGCUUGUUUUAUCUGAUUUUUAAUGUUGGGCCUAAUGUGCUAAAUGCCGCUUUUACCGCUUUGAUAUUGUUUGGACUGUAUAUAAAUUGUUACGAAACCCUCCUCUCUCUGAGUCUUCUAAAUCAUCUGGGAAGUGUGCACUUCGUGUAACUUCUUUUCUGUGAGAGUCUUAUCCCAAUUUUAGAACGAGGUUCAGACAAGUUGCAAAGACGGUGAAGCUUCUGUAUUCCCGGUACGCUGCCUCUCCCCCCCUACUCGAGUUGUCCGCUCGGGUAAGCCAGGUCUAGAACAAUACACCCAGGUUUUAAACCUAGUAUAACAAAGCCUCAUGUCGGAUCCCUAGUAGGAACGCUUGUUUGCAUCACGUGCAUCUGACUUUGGAGACUCAACACAGGGGUUGGGUCUAUCUAGGACAGGUGUACCCGAAAUGAAAAGACCAUCCUGAUGCAUUUUACUUACUACUUGUGCAUUUAUUUGCUUCGGAUUGCAUGUUGACCGACUUCUAGAAUAGGAAAAGAAAAUAAAGGGAGAAAAAAAGAGAAUAAAAAAAGUGAGAGGUAGGUAUUUAGAAAAUUCUGAAACUCUGCCAAAAUCCUGGAAAAACAAAGAAUGGUUAUUUCAAAAUGAGCCAAAAUUUUCAAGUACCACGUUUCCCUUGUUCUGUCGAAACUGACCGAACUACGCGGGUCUGAUUCUCAUGGGAUGUGAGAUACGCAGGCAAACCUCAUCGGUUCCGACCCCAAUUUUCCAAAAAUCCAAAAAUAUUUUCUUUUAGUUCCUUCUUUAGAAAUCUUUCCUUAGAAUAUUCGAAAAAAAAGAAGUUUUUAUAAAAACUCAAAAAAAAGUAGCUUCCUUCUUUCUAAAUUCUUUCAUACGAAAAAAAAAUCAAAAAAAUCAAAAUCCAAAAUAUGGAUUUCUUUUAUUUUGAAGUAUUUUUCUAAAAAAUUUAAAAAAAAACUUUUCAUUGUUUAAAAGUCUUUCUUUAAAAAAAAAAAAUUUGACAAAUGGAAGUCCAAAAAUAUUUUCGCUUUUCUUUAGAAGUACUUUUGUAAAUAAAUAAAAACUCAGAAAUCCAAAAUAUUUUUUUAAAAGUCCAUCUUUCGAAAAUUAAUAUGCAACAUCCAAAAUCCAAAAAUAUGUUCUUUCUUCCUUAGAAAAAGAGAAAACAAAUGAAAAUUCAAACAAAACUAUUUUCUUCUUACUUUUAAAAUUUCCAAAGUUCAAAUCAAAAGCAAAUGAUUUUUUAGAAGUCUUUCUUUCAAAAACAAAACGAAAAUCAAAAAUUCAAAAAAAAAAUAUUUCCUUUCUUCUUUUAAAGUAUUUCUUUCAAAAUUCCAACCAAAAAAAUAUUAGUUUAUUUACUCCAUUUUCGAUCUUCCCGAACUACACAAGAUCUGAUUCAUACUGGGUCAUGAUACGUAGGCGAUCCCCAUCAGAUUCAAUCAUAGCCAUAAUAUUAGUUGAGUGAAAAAAUAAAUUGAAAAAAAAGAGAGUGAAAAAAAAAGAAGAAAAAAAAGAGAGUGACCAAAAAUAAAAGAGUGAAAAAAAACAAAAAAAGAAAAGAGAGUGCAAAAAAUAAAAGAGUGGCAAAAACGAGAUAAAAGAAAAAUCAAGAGUGAUUAAAGAGAGACAGAAAUGAAGAAAAAGGGGUAUAGAGUGAAAAGGGCUAGUCAAGGCCGGGAUGAAACAUGCAACCGUUCAAACACGGUAGAAGCGUUUAACUGUUAGGUGCAUUACAUCCCAACGUGCGAUUUCCUAUAUGUUAAAUGUUUCAAAACUAACAAGGUUUUUGGAUGUGCAAAUUAGCCAGGUUUUGGUGGUUGGUUUUGUUGGUAGUCUAGCCUCUCUUCCUUCACAAAAUCCAAAGGCACAGAUGGCCUUCGCAAGUAAUAUACCAAUCAUCGGUCCUGAGGAUAGCCCAGCAUCGUCUAUUCUGUAGCUAGAAUCAGCGGCUGCUGAAGAGAAUAAGAUGUUGCAUCUCCGCAUAUUGGAGAUGUGGGACGCAUGUUCUAAUGGUAGGGAACCGCCAAGUACAAUCCCUGGGUUCCCUGAGUUGAUCCCCAGGUCAGGUGAGGUUACCAACGCCCCUGUGCCCAACCCGCUUAUCCCAUGCGGGCACCCUCCAAUGCCCUCUAAUGAUCCUGGCAUACCUUUUGUGGUUCGCCCCCAGGCACCGGCUUCAAAGGCACCGCCUCCAAUGUUCAUCUUUCAGGGUCUACAGCUUCAACCAGAAAUAACAUAUGUGACCCUGUACACUUUCACUCAACCUCCGCAAUAUGAUCUCUCGGUGGGGCAAGAAAAGGUUGUUAAAAUUCCCGACCAAGAGGAAAUGGCUAGGAAGAUGAAGAGCCUGGAACAAAGCCUGAACAACAUGCAAGGUCUGAGUGGCCAGAAGAGUGUCUCAUACUCUGACCUAUCUAUGUUUCCCCAUGUCCACUUGCCAGCUGGCUUUAAGAUGCCAAAAUUUGAAAAGUAUGACAGGCAUGGAGACCCGGUCGCUCAUAUGAAACGAUAUUGUAACCAGUUGAGGGGUGUUUGUGGAAAAGAGGAGCUGCUAAUGGCCUAUUUUGGGGAAAGCCUUAUCAGAAUCGCUUCUGAGUGGUAUACGGAUCAAGAAAUUACUCAUUGGCAUGUGUGGGACGAUAUGGCUCGAGAUUUUGUCCGCCAGUUCCAGUAUAAUGUGGACAUUGCGCCCGACAGAAACUCUUUGUCCAAUUUAAAAAAGAAAACCGCGGAAAGCUUCCGCGAAUAUGCUGUCAAAUGGCGUAAGCAAGUUACAAGGGUAAAGCCUCCAAUGGAUGAAAUUGAAAUGGUCACAGUCUUUCUAUAGGUCCAAAAGGCAGACUACUUCCAGAACAUAAAGUCUGUUAUACGUAAGCUGUUUGCCGAGGCUAUCGAAAUUGGGGAAAUGGUUGAAAACAGUCCAAAAAAGGGCUGAAUCUUGAGUCAUGCUGCUUUUAAAGCCACAUCACCAGAUGUUCAAAAUGGUUCAGAGGGUUUGAUAAAUGGAAAUGGGGUUGAGGAGGGAGCCAUGAUGGUUUCAAGCUCGAGGGGGCCCGCAGGUCAUUCAGCCAGUUAUAUAUGCCUCCUAUGAUCCCACCACACUAUUAUCCCCUUCAAGAUGGUGCUUAUGUUGUGGCACUACCUCCCUAUGCGGUGAUGAACGCACAACCUUACUCGCUGCCACAAUACUAUCCACAAAAUCGAGCUGCACCUCCCAGAAAUGCCCAUCCUUACCAAGCUCUAUAUAAUCCUCAACCAAAUGAUCCUAAAUACAAUCCUCGCCCAAGAAAUCCUUUCAGAAUGAAUCAGUUCACCCCUAUUGGUGAAUCAUAUUCAAGCUUGUUCCAAAAGCUAAUCAGGCUAGAUCUAUUGCACCCCAGUAGCCCCAAACCGGCGAAACCCCGAGUCCCUCUAGCACCGAGCUGAUGCUAGAUGUGAAUACCACUCUGGAGAAGUGGUACACAGUAUAGAAGAUUGUUGGACCCUCAAAAGGGCAGUUGAAGAUUUGAUUGAAGCUGAAAGCAUUAUUUUUUGGGACGAAAAAGCUCCUGAUGUGAUGAACAAUAUGUUGCCUGCCCACAACAUCGGACCAAUAGUCGGAAUAUUUGUGAAGAUGAGGAAUUUAAUCCGGCACUGAAGGCCGUUGUAGCCAUUGUCGAGACAGAGGCAAAGCCAAAAAAUGGUCGCCAAGCCGGAAGGUUCCCUAUCAGACAAGAGUCUUGGUAGCCAACCUUGCUAUCCUUUCUACGUCCGGAUUAUCUCAGGGUGUGAUCCGGAUGUUUUAAAUUAUUGUCUUACUUUAUGAUGUAAACCCUUCUAUCUUCAAAAAUUGAAAAAAAAGAAAAAAUCAAAAAUUGAAAAAAUCAAAUGAAAUUAAUAUUUCAUUGUCUAGGAAUGUCUCUUUUCUUAAUCUUGUCAUUUUUCUCAUUCUCUUUUUAGUUCUGUUAAAUGCAGAUUUCAAUAACAUGACAUGCUUGCGGACUUCAUGCCUAGAUCCUGAAAGAUGUCAGACCUCGAAAAAAUUAAUCAAGGAUUAGAUCGCAAUGAAGAUAAAGUUUAAGAAAAUAAAACAAAGAGUUGAAACAACUGAAGAAAAAUUAGUUCCCGGAUUGGAAAGGCCCAUACAUUACAACAAGAGUACUACCAAAAGAGUGCGUUGUACUUAGGAUACAUCGAAGAAAAUGUCCCUGAAAUAACUAUCAAUGCAAAUGCAGUCAAAAGGUACUAUGUUGGAUCCAUUAUAUAGCAUUAAUGUUCUCCGGUUAGGAUGAAGAAGUCUUUUCUUUCUCAAUGUCCAAACACUAUCAACCCUUUGCAAAACUUUUGAGCUGGUUACUUUUCUUUGAUUACCCUCUUUAGAACCUGAAAGUGUUAUUGAAAAAAAAAUUCAAAAAAAAAAUGAGAUGAAAAGUAAAAAAAAAAGGGAGAAGAAAAAGGAAAAAAAGACAAAGAAAAUAAAAAAACGAAAAAGAGAGGAAAAAAGGAAAGGAAAAGACAGAGAAAACAAAACAAAAUAGAAAAACAAAGUUUCCUGAACUACGUUCGACUUGAUUCCGAAAGGAUAUGUAGGCAGCCUCUCUCUGGGGAUCAGUCACACCAAAAUAAAAAUCCAAAUUUCCCCAAAUAAUGAAAUUGGGGCAGAUGUUAUAAUGGUUCGGCGAUGAUCCCGUUUGAAUGGUUCCAAAGUUGUAAUUCAGUCCAAAUCAUUUUUACCCAAAUCCUUUCAAGUCCUUCCGAUCAAUCGGUGAGAAUGUUCAAGGAUAAGGGAAUAUAGCUACUUGGAUCCGAUGCAAUAAAAAUGAGAGAAAUAAAAUGAGAGAGUCUUAUUGGUGAAAACCCACAUGGGCAUCAUAAGGCGACAGUAAGCAGAGAAAUUGAAAUGAGAGAGUCUUGUUAGUGAAAACUCGUAAAGAGCACUAUAAGGCAACAGUGAGAAGAUAAAUGAGAGAGGUCAAUUGGCGAAAACCCGCAAAGGGCGCCGUUGAUCGAAAAGAGGAUCCUCACAGCCAUCGGCACCGACAGAAUCCUGGUAAGGUCUCUCGAUUUUGAGGCAAAAAUUGUAAUGAAUUUCUGAGAGUCGGACAGUUUACACAGAUCAGACAUCCAGUCCAAAAGGCAUGUUAUGUUCAUUGAAGCCCGCAUAUACUCUGGAUAAGUCCUUCUUUCCUUUCCCCGAAAGGGACACUUCUUAUUUUAAACUCAUUCUCCAUUUCAUUGUUUAUUUGAAUCCCUUUCGGUCUAACUCUGUUCCGAAACUAAGACAAAGAAAUGAUCGUAAGACUGAUUUACAGGAUUCUCAUUUGGCAUGAGCUAAUAUGCAGAAAGGCACCCAGCUUUGUCACGGGUAUCAAGUCUACCCUGACUAGCCAUGGUGGCCGAUGUUUCGAAAUCAAAACUCUUGGAAAGAGAAAAUCAAAUAGAGUGCCUAUAAAGGCAAAUGAAGUUCAAAAGAUUGAGUCCUACGUGGCUAACCGUGUCGGCAAAGAGUUGGAAAAAAAAAUCCAAGGUACCCCAAAUGCUCUGAAUUUGAAGUUGGGAGAAAGAAGCCAAAAACGAAAGGCCUACGAAGGCGAAAUAAAGUUGGAAAAGGUUAAGUCCCACGUGACUAGCCGUUGCAACAAAGUUUGAGGAGCCAAAAGUUUCCUAAUGUUCCGAAAAUAAAUGAAAGAAAAAAAAAGAAAAAAAGAAAAGGAAGUCAGAAAGGAAAGGCCUACGAAGGCAAAAUAAAGUCGAAAAGGUUGAGUUCCACCAACCAACUGUCAUGGAAAAAUUUGAAAAAAAACCCAGAGGUUCUCAGGGCCUGAAAUAAAAUUAGUCCCCAGGAAACAAGCAGUUGCAAUUGAGAUCUUCAUCAAAGAAGCUGGGCCGAGAUCAAGUGAUCAACAACAAUCAAAGCCACAAAACCAACCACCGUUUCAAACUAACAAUUGUUCUUUGUUUGAAAAUUGAAACAGGUGCAAUACAAAGCAACCGUGCAAGAAGCAGGUGCAACCAAAAAGGAAAACGAAAUGCG